rnacentral:rRNA from 1 species
AGUCGAGGGGUAUAGUAGCAAUACUAGAGACCGGCGCACGGGUGCGUAACGCGUAUGCAAUCUACCUUUUGCAGAGGGAUAGCCCAGAGAAAUUUGGAUUAAUACCUCAUAGUAUAACGACUCGGCAUCGAGAUGUUAUUAAAGUCACAACGGCAAAAGAUGAGCAUGCGUCCCAUUAGUUAGUUGGUAAGGUAACGGCUUACCAAGACUACGAUGGGUAGGGGUCCUGAGAGGGAGAUCCCCCACACUGGUACUGAGACACGGACCAGACUCCUACGGGAGGCAGCAGUGAGGAAUAUUGGACAAUGGGCGCAAGCCUGAUCCAGCCAUGCCGCGUGCAGGAUGACGGUCCUAUGGAUUGUAAACUGCUUUUGCACAGGAAGAAACAACGCUACGUGUAGCGUCUUGACGGUACUGUGAGAAUAAGGAUCGGCUAACUCCGUGCCAGCAGCCGCGGUAAUACGGAGGAUCCAAGCGUUAUCCGGAAUCAUUGGGUUUAAAGGGUCCGUAGGCGGUCUUAUAAGUCAGUGGUGAAAUCUCCCCGCUCAACGGGGAAACGGCCAUUGAUACUGUAGGACUUGAAUUAUUAGGAAGUAACUAGAAUAUGUAGUGUAGCGGUGAAAUGCUUAGAGAUUACAUGGAAUACCAAUUGCGAAGGCAGGUUACUACUAAUGGAUUGACGCUGAUGGACGAAAGCGUGGGUAGCGAACAGGAUUAGAUACCCUGGUAGUCCACGCCGUAAACGAUGGAUACUAGCUGUUGGGUGCAAGUUCAGUGGCUAAGCGAAAGUGAUAAGUAUCCCACCUGG